AUUGAACGCUGGCGGCAGGCCUAACACAUGCAAGUCGAGCGGAGCGGCGGACGGGUGAGUAAUGCCUAGGAAUCUGCCUGGUCGUGGGGGAUAACGUCCGGAAACGGGCGCUAAUACCGCAUACUAUCGGCUGAGCCUAGGUCGGGUUAGCUAGUUGGUGGGGUAAAGGCCUACCAAGGCGACGCUCCGUAACUGGUCUGAGAGGAUGAUCAGUCACACUGGAACUGAGACACGGUCCAGACUCCUACGGGAGGCAGCAGUGGGGAAUCUUCCGCAAUGGACGAAAGUCUGACGGAGCAACGCCGCGUGAGUGAUGACGGCCUUCGGGUUGUAAACCUCUGUCGCUAUCGAACGGGUAGGUGGAGAAGAAGCGCCGGCUAACUACGUGCCAGCAGCCGCGGUAAUUC
rnacentral:rRNA from 1 species